GACAGAGGGUGCAAACGUUGUUCGGAAUUACUGGGCUUAAAGCGCGUGUAGGCUGCUCUGCAAGUCGGGUGUGAAAGCCCUGGGCUCAACCUAGGAAGUGCACUCGAAACUGCAGAGCUUGAGUCCUGGAGAGGAAGGCGGAAUUCUCGGUGUAGAGGUGAAAUUCGUAGAUAUCGAGAGGAACACCGGUGGCGAAGGCGGCCUUCUGGACAGUGACUGACGCUGAGACGCGAAAGCGUGGGGAGCAAACAGG
rnacentral:rRNA from 1 species